rnacentral:rRNA from 1 species
ACGAACGCUGGCGGCGUGCUUAACACAUGCAAGUCGAGCGGUAAGGCCCUUUCGGGGGUACACGAGCGGCGAACGGGUGAGUAACACGUGGGUGACCUGCCCUCAGCUCUGGGAUAAGCCUGGGAAACCGGGUCUAAUACCGGAUAUGACUCCAUGACGCAUGUUGUGGGGUGGAAAGCCUUGUGCGGCUGAGGAUGGGCCCGCGGCCUAUCAGCUUGUUGGUGGGGUGANGGCCUGCCAAGGCGACGACGGGUAGCCGGCCUGAGAGGGCGGACGGCCACACUGGGACUGAGACACGGCCCAGACUCCUACGGGAGGCAGCAGUGGGGAAUUGUUCGCAAUGGGCGCAAGCCUGACGACGCAACGCCGCGUGGAGGAUGAAGAUCUUC